rnacentral:misc_RNA from 1 species
UAAAAUUCAAAAACCAACAACAUGACCAAUCCAAAGCUUUUAAUUUAUAUGUGUAUGAUGAGACUAGAUUUGCAGUCUAACAUUUUAUUAAUCAAUCUAAUCUACAACACUUGAAAUCAAAAAAAAGCCCAAUAGAGAGAGAGGGAGGGCCUUAUUCCAACCAUUUUGUUCAUAGGCAAAAGCUUGAAAACUGUGAAGGAUUGAAAACUACGGCAUCUUAAUUUCAUCAAGCAGGAACUUUCCCUAAGAGUUUGAGGACGGCUUCUUUGGUGGGUAGUGCAGGUAUUGCGCCCCUCUCUGUUACUGUAACAGCACCACAGGCAUUUGCAAAAAGAAGAGCUUCUCUUAACCGCAUCUCAUCCUUCAAUAGACUUAGAUCAGAUGCUAGGCUUCUGAGAAUCCCACCAACAAAGGCAUCACCUGCACCAGUUGUGUCAACAGGUUUCACUUUAACACCAGCAACCUUGCCCUUGAAUUCCUUGGUGUAAUAUCUACAGCCUUCAGAGCCUUCAGUCACAACCAAAAGCUUCAGAUUGGGAUGAAAAAGCUUCUUUAAGACCACAUUAUCAUCAUUAGGAUCAUCACCUCCAGUUAAAAAUGUGAUUUCCUCCUCACUUAUCUUAAUAACAUCAGCUUGUUCCCAUAUACUCAUUA